rnacentral:rRNA from 6 species
UUAAAUUGAAGAGUUUGAUCAUGGCUCAGAUUGAACGCUGGCGGCAGGCCUAACACAUGCAAGUCGAACGGUAACAGGAAGCAGCUUGCUGCUUCGCUGACGAGUGGCGGACGGGUGAGUAAUGUCUGGGAAACUGCCUGAUGGAGGGGGAUAACUACUGGAAACGGUAGCUAAUACCGCAUAACGUCGCAAGACCAAAGAGGGGGACCUUCGGGCCUCUUGCCAUCGGAUGUGCCCAGAUGGGAUUAGCUUGUUGGUGGGGUAACGGCUCACCAAGGCGACGAUCCCUAGCUGGUCUGAGAGGAUGACCAGCCACACUGGAACUGAGACACGGUCCAGACUCCUACGGGAGGCAGCAGUGGGGAAUAUUGCACAAUGGGCGCAAGCCUGAUGCAGCCAUGCCGCGUGUAUGAAGAAGGCCUUCGGGUUGUAAAGUACUUUCAGCGGGGAGGAAGGGAGUAAAGUUAAUACCUUUGCUCAUUGACGUUACCCGCAGAAGAAGCACCGGCUAACUCCGUGCCAGCAGCCGCGGUAAUACGGAGGGUGCAAGCGUUAAUCGGAAUUACUGGGCGUAAAGCGCACGCAGGCGGUUUGUUAAGUCAGAUGUGAAAUCCCCGGGCUCAACCUGGGAACUGCAUCUGAUACUGGCAAGCUUGAGUCUCGUAGAGGGGGGUAGAAUUCCAGGUGUAGCGGUGAAAUGCGUAGAGAUCUGGAGGAAUACCGGUGGCGAAGGCGGCCCCCUGGACGAAGACUGACGCUCAGGUGCGAAAGCGUGGGGAGCAAACAGGAUUAGAUACCCUGGUAGUCCACGCCGUAAACGAUGUCGACUUGGAGGUUGUGCCCUUGAGGCGUGGCUUCCGGAGCUAACGCGUUAAGUCGACCGCCUGGGGAGUACGGCCGCAAGGUUAAAACUCAAAUGAAUUGACGGGGGCCCGCACAAGCGGUGGAGCAUGUGGUUUAAUUCGAUGCAACGCGAAGAACCUUACCUGGUCUUGACAUCCACGGAAGUUUUCAGAGAUGAGAAUGUGCCUUCGGGAACCGUGAGACAGGUGCUGCAUGGCUGUCGUCAGCUCGUGUUGUGAAAUGUUGGGUUAAGUCCCGCAACGAGCGCAACCCUUAUCCUUUGUUGCCAGCGGUCCGGCCGGGAACUCAAAGGAGACUGCCAGUGAUAAACUGGAGGAAGGUGGGGAUGACGUCAAGUCAUCAUGGCCCUUACGACCAGGGCUACACACGUGCUACAAUGGCGCAUACAAAGAGAAGCGACCUCGCGAGAGCAAGCGGACCUCAUAAAGUGCGUCGUAGUCCGGAUUGGAGUCUGCAACUCGACUCCAUGAAGUCGGAAUCGCUAGUAAUCGUGGAUCAGAAUGCCACGGUGAAUACGUUCCCGGGCCUUGUACACACCGCCCGUCACACCAUGGGAGUGGGUUGCAAAAGAAGUAGGUAGCUUAACCUUCGGGAGGGCGCUUACCACUUUGUGAUUCAUGACUGGGGUGAAGUCGUAACAAGGUAACCGUAGGGGAACCUGCGGUUGGAUCACCUCCUUACCUUAAAGAAGC